UUAAUGGUUAAGAUGAACCCUAAAAAGUUUCUAAAAGCACAAAGAUUUGGUCCUGGUCUUAUUGUCAGUUAUCUCUUGAUUUACACAUGCAAGUCUCAGCACACCAGUGAGGACGCCCUUACCCCUUCUAUAGGACAAGGAGCUGAUAUCAGGCACUUCCACCGCCCAUAACAUCUAGUCCGACCACACCCCCAAGGGUAUUCAGCAGUGAUAAACAUUGUUUAUAAGCGACAGCUUGACUCAGUCAAAGAGAAGAGGGCCGGCCAACCCGGUGCCAGCCGCCGCGGCUAAACCCUAGGGCCCAAAUUGAUAAUACUCGGCGUCAAUCGUGAUUAAAGCUUUCUAAAAUUAGAGUAGAACCUAUUAUUAAGCUGUGAAAAGCAAUUUUUUUAGGGAAAAUCAGAAACGAAAGUUACUCUAAUAUACACUUGAACACACGACAACUGGGAAACAAACUGG
rnacentral:rRNA from 1 species